rnacentral:rRNA from 1 species
UACGUAGGGGGCAAGCGUUGUCCGGAUUUAUUGGGCGUAAAGAGCGUGUAGGCGGCCAGACAGGUCCGUUGUGAAAACUCGAGGCUCAACCUCGAGAUGUCGAUGGAAACCGUCUGGCUAGAGUCCGGAAGAGGAGUGUGGAAUUCCCGGUGUAGCGGUGAAAUGCGUAGAGAUCGGGAGGAACAUCAGUGGCGAAGGCGGCCAUCUGGGACAACACUGACGCUGAAGCACGAAGGCGUGGGGAGCAAACAGG